rnacentral:rRNA from 1 species
UACGUAGGGUGCGAGCGUUAAUCGGAAUUACUGGGCGUAAAGCGUGCGUAGGCGGUUCGUUAAGUUCGUUGUGAAAGCCCGGGGCUCACCCCCGGAAGUGCAUUGGAAACUGGUGGACUCGAGUCCCGGAGAGGAGAGUGGAAUUCCUGGUGUAGCGGUGAAAUGCGUAGAUAUCAGGAGGAACACCGGUGGCGAAGGCGGCUCUCUGGACGGUGACUGACGCUGAGACGCGAAAGCGUGGGGAGCAAACAGG